GGCCUCGUGGCCCAAUGGCAAGGCGUCUGACUACGAUUGUGGGGACUGACAAACUCAGUCAACAUAGAUGUGUAAUCAGGAGAUUCUGGGUUCGACCCCCAGCGAGGUCA
rnacentral:tRNA from 1 species